rnacentral:rRNA from 1 species
ACUCCUACGGGAGGCAGCAGUGGGGAAUUUUGGACAAUGGGGGCAACCCUGAUCCAGCAAUGCCGCGUGAGUGAAGAAGGCCUUCGGGUUGUAAAGCUCUUUUGUCAGGGAAGAAACGGUUUUGGCUAAUAUCCAAGACUAAUGACGGUAC